AUUUAUAUAAUAUAAGUACAGUAUAUUUGACUUCCAAUCAAAAAGUUUAAAAUUAUUUAAUAUAAAUA
rnacentral:tRNA from 1 species